UAACAUUGUCUUCGGACAGAUGACGACCGGCGCACGGGUGAGUAACGCGUAUGCAACCUGCCUUUGACAGAGGAAUAGCCCGGAGAAAUCCGGAUUAAUACCUCAUGGUAUUUAAGACUCGCAUGGGUUUUAAAUUAAAGAUUUAUCGGUCAAAGAUGGGCAUGCGUGACAUUAGCUAGUUGGUAAGGUAACGGCUUACCAAGGCUACGAUGUCUAGGGGUUCUGAGAGGAUGAUCCCCCACACUGGUACUGAGACACGGACCAGACUCCUACGGGAGGCAGCAGUGAGGAAUAUUGGUCAAUGGGCGCAAGCCUGAACCAGCCAUCCCGCGUGAAGGAAGACGGCCCUAUGGGUUGUAAACUUCUUUUCUGCACCAAGAAUGGACAUUACGUGUAGUGUUUUGACGGUAGUGCAGGAAUAAGCAUCGGCUAACUCCGUGCCAGCAGCCGCGGUAAUACGGAGGAUGCAAGCGUUAUCCGGAUUUAUUGGGUUUAAAGGGUACGUAGGUGGCCUUGUAAGUCAGUGGUGAAAUCCUGCCGCUUAACGGUAGAACUGCCAUUGAUACUGCAGGGCUUGAGUACAGUUGAGGUAGGCGGAAUGUGUAGUGUAGCGGUGAAAUGCUUAGAUAUUACACAGAACCCCGAUUGCGAAGGCAGCUUACUAAACUGUAACUGACACUGAGGUACGAAAGCGUGGGGAGCGAACAGGAUUAGAUACCCUGGUAGUCCACGCCGUAAACGAUGCUCACUCGCUGUAUGCGAUACACAGUAUGCGGCCAAGCGAAAGUCUUAAGUGAGCCACCUGGGGAGUACGUUGGCAACAGUGAAACUCAAAGGAAUUGACGGGGGCCCGCACAAGCGGAGGAACAUGUGGUUUAAUU
rnacentral:rRNA from 1 species